rnacentral:rRNA from 1 species
AUCCGGGUUGCGGACAGUGUCUGGUGGGUAGUUUGACUGGGGCGGUCUCCUCCUAAAGAGUAACGGAGGAGCACGAAGGUUGGCUAAUCCUGGUCGGACAUCAGGAGGUUAGUGCAAAGGCAUAAGCCAGCUUGACUGCGAGAGUGACGGCUCGAGCAGGUGCGAAAGCAGGUCUUAGUGAUCCGGUGGUUCUGAAUGGAAGGGCCAUCGCUCAACGGAUAAAAGGUACUCCGGGGAUAACAGGCUGAUACCGCCCAAGAGUUCAUAUCGACGGCGGUGUUUGGCACCUCGAUGUCGGCUCAUCACAUCCUGGGGCUGAAGUAGGUCCCAAGGGUAUGGCUGUUCGCCAUUUAAAGUGGUACGCGAGCUGGGUUUAGAACGUCGUGAGACAGUUCGGUCCCUAUCUGCCGUGGGCGCUGGAGAAUUGAGGGGGGCUGCUCCUAGUACGAGAGGACCGGAGUGGACGCAUCACUGGUGUUCGGGUUGUCAUGCCAAUGGCACUGCCCGGUAGCUAAAUGCGGAAGAGAUAAGUGCUGAAAGCAUCUAAGCACGAAACUUGCCCCGAGAUGAGUUCUCCCUGAGACUUAGAGUCUCCUGAAGGAACGUUGAAGACGACGACGUUGAUAGGCCGGGUGUGUAAGCGCAGCGAUGCGUUGAGCUAACCGGUACUAAUGAACCGUGAGGCUUAACCUUACAACGCCGAAG